GGCAAAGAUGAAGAGUGCUUUAAAUUCUGACACCUCUUGUAUGAGUUGAGCUUGAUUUUCCAGGCUCUUCCAUGAGCACAUACAGCAACUCUCUGAGCC
rnacentral:snoRNA from 1 species